rnacentral:rRNA from 1 species
GACGAACGCUGGCGGCGUGCUUAACACAUGCAAGUCGAACGGUGAAACGCCUUCCUUUUUGGUGGGUGGGGAUGAGUGGCGAAGUGGGGAGUAACACGUGAGUAACCUGCCCCCUUCUGCUUGAUAACCGCAUGAAAGUGUGACUAAUACGGGAUAUUCUGAGUCUGUCGCAUGAUGGGUCUGGGAAGGUUUUUGUUUCGGUGGGGGAUGGGCUCGCGGCCUAUUAGCUUGUUGGUAGGGUGACGGCUGACCAAGGCGGCGAUGAGUAGCCGCCCUGAGGGGAUGGUCGGCCGCCCGAGGGGUGAGGCACCGCCGCCACGCCUACGACGGGCAGCAGUAGGGGGUAUUCUGGAAUGGUGGGAGGCAGGAUGAUGCAGCGCCGCCGCGUGGGUGAUGGAGGCCGGCGGGUUGUGAACUUUUUGCGGCAGUGAAGAAGGGCUGAAUCGUUUGUGCACGGCUUGACGGUACCUGGACAAGAAGCGACGGCUAACUACGUG